rfam:Picea glauca, whole genome shotgun sequence.
UCAAAGGAUUCCUUCGAAUCCACCAUGAUCAUAUUUCGAAAAUAGU